CUGCACCAUUCAUUGUUUUCUUGUCUUCUCUGCUCCCUCUGGUUCUGCUUCUUCUCUUGAUAAUCAUGGGAAUCAACAAUCACAAUCAUGCAGGGAGCCCAAGUUGUCCACUAUUGAUGCAGAUGGAUCAACCAGCUGUGAAAUCGGACAGGAUCAAGGGCUGCAAACCUGAAAGUGUGAUAUCCUGUAAAGUGCCACUGAAGCCUACAUACACCAGAUGGUCUGUGAGCUGAAGAGAAAUGGCUUUCUAAAUAAAGUUUCCAACAUGUGA